UUUUGUUUGUUCAUUUUGGUCAAACUCUGAUCAACCCGCGACUCUCUUCUCUUCCCUCUCUCCUCUGAGCAGAAAGUACCAAUCUUUCUCUGCAAUUUAAUCACAACCACAGGAAUCCAAAACCCUUUAUUGGAACUCACCGUUCAUCUCCAUUCUUACGCAUGGUUUCCUGUAGAUGGUACUGUUUUAGCUGAUGGGGGGUCAUGGGACCAUACACAGCUUCAAAUGUCAUCACAUACCGUAGCCAUCGAAAGAAGUCUUCAACCAGUUAAUUAUAUGUUACUAAUCCAUUUUCAUACUUUUUCUUUUGCAAGUUAGUUAAGUGGAACAAAGAAUUCAAAGCAAUCUGUACUAGUACAACAAUUGAGAAGCUCAUUAUGGCAUGCAGAGGUAGAGCAAGAGCACAAAGGAUAGUUCCCUUCCUGCUGCUUCUCAUCCAUGAUUGUUUGUUCCAGUCUUUCCAAUAAGAACGGAAUAUUUUUGGGUCAACUGAGGGAAAAGCAUCGAAUCCGCAGUAUUGUGCAACCAGGAAAAUGGAGGUGUUUCUUGCAAACAUGAGCAGUUACAAUUCUCUGGGACUGGAAGAAGAGACAAAAAGAAAUAACUGAAACCGGUGGAGAGGCCUGCGAUGCCAGUGCAUAUCUUUUAUUUGCUGGACGAUGAUCACAAGUCAUCAGAUUGUUCUUUUCUUCUAAAGCAGAGGAUAGAUUGUGUAGGAUAAAAGAUUUAAUGUAGUGGAAACCUGUUUAUUGGAAACAUAUCAUCACAAUUCUUCUUCAACUUUUUAUCGUGUAACAGGGGCAGCCAUCUUCCAAUAUCUGAAUCAAAAUCCCGCCUCCAUAUUCAUUCUCAUUCA